rnacentral:rRNA from 1 species
UAGGUUAACGAGGCGAACCGGGGGAACUGAAACAUCUAAGUACCCCGAGGAAAAGAAAUCAACCGAGAUUCCCCCAGUAGCGGCGAGCGAACGGGGAGCAGCCCAGAGUCUGAAUCAGCUUGUGUGUUAGUGGAACGGUCUGGAAAGUCCGACGGUACAGGGUGAUAGUCCCGUACACCAAAAUGCACAGGUUGUGAACUCGAAGAGUAGGGCGGGACACGUGGUAUCCUGUCUGAAUAUGGGGGGACCAUCCUCCAAGGCUAAAUACUCCUGACUGACCGAUAGUGAACCAGUACCGUGAGGGAAAGGCGAAAAGAACCCCGGCGAGGGGAGUGAAAAAGAACCUGAAACCGUGUACGUACAAGCAGUGGGAGCACCUUCGGGUGUGACUGCGUACCUUUUGUAUAAUGGGUCAGCGACUUAUAUUCUGUAGCAAGGUUAACCGUAUAGGGGAGCCGCAGGGAAACCGAGUCUUAACUGGGCGUUAAGUUGCAGGGUAUAGACCCGAAACCCGGUGAUCUAGCCAUGGGCAGGUUGAAGGUUGGGUAACACUAACUGGAGGACCGAACCGACUAAUGUUGAAAAAUUAGCGGAUGACUUGUGGCUGGGGGUGAAAGGCCAAUCAAACCGGGAGAUAGCUGGUUCUCCCCGAAAGCUAUUUAGGUAGCGCCUCGUGAAUUCAUCUUCGGGGGUAGAGCACUGUUUCGGCUAGGGGGUCAUCCCGACUUACCAACCCGAUGCAAACUACGA